rnacentral:rRNA from 1 species
UACGAAGGGGGCUAGCGUUGCUCGGAAUCACUGGGCGUAAAGGGUGCGUAGGCGGGUCUUUAAGUCAGGGGUGAAAUCCCGGGGCUCAACCCCGGAACUGCCUUUGAUACUGGUAGUCUCGAGUCCGGAAGAGGUGAGUGGAAUUCCGAGUGUAGAGGUGAAAUUCGUAGAUAUUCGGAGGAACACCAGUGGCGAAGGCGGCUCACUGGUCCGGUACUGACGCUGAGGCGCGAAAGCCAGGGGAGCAAACGGG